AGAGCUCAACUUUGGAUCGCUCCGGCGAGUUGUAGUCUGGAGGUGGCCACCACGAGGUGUUCUAGCAGCAGGCAAGUCCUUUGGAACAAGGCGCCAGCGAGGGUGACAGCCCCGUACCUGCUUUUGCUAGUGCUUCCUGUGGCCCACCGACGAGUCGAGUUGUUUGGGAAUGCAGCUCUAAGUGGGUGGUAAAUUCCAUCUAAGGCUAAAUAUUGGCGAGAGACCGAUAGCGAACAAGUACAGUGAUGGAAAGAUGAAAAGCACUUUGAAAAGAGAGUGAAACAGUACGUGAAAUUGUUGAAAGGGAAGGGCUUGCACCCAGACACGGUUUCGGCCGGGCCAGCAUCAAGUAGAACGGGGUUAAAAGACUUGGGGAAUGUAGCUACUUCGGUAGUGUUAUAGCCCUUGGUGAUGACCCCUGUUUUGCUUGAGGACAGCGGUCUCUAGGAUGCUGGCGCAAUGGUUGCAAGCCACCCGU
rnacentral:rRNA from 1 species